GACGUAGGGCGCGAGCGUUGUCCGGAUUUAUUGGGCGUAAAGAGCUCGUAGGCGGCUUGUCGCGUCGACUGUGAAAACCCGCGGCUCAACUGCGGGCCUGCAGCCGAUACGGGCAGGCUAGAGUUCGGUAGGGGAGACUGGAAUUCCUGGUGUAGCGGUGAAAUGCGCAGAUAUCAGGAGGAACACCGGUGGCGAAGGCGGGUCUCUGGGCCGAUACUGACGCU
rnacentral:rRNA from 1 species